GACGAACGCUGGCGGCGUGCCUAAUACAUGCAAGUUGAGCGCUGAAGGUUCGUCCUUGUAGCGGGUGGAUGAGCAGCGGCCGGGUGGGUAAUGCGUGGGGAAUAUGCCUUUGAGUGGGGGAGGACAUCCGGAAAAGAAUGCUACUAACACAUAAAAACUUUAGACAGUAGCUUUAAGUUUGGAAGAUGGAAUUGGAUCACUCGAAGAUGAUCCCGCGUUGUUUUAGCUAGUUGGUGAGGUAAAGGCUCACCAAGGCGGUGAUACAUAGCCGACCUGCGAGGGUGAUCGGCCACAUUGGGACUGAGAGACACCCCAAACGCAUACGUGAGGCAGCCGUAGGUAAUCUUCGUCAAUCGAUGAAAGUCUGACUGAGCAACGCCGCGUGAGUGAAGAAGGGUUUCGGAUCGUAUGUCACUCUUGGUAGAGAAUAACGUUGGUGAGAGUCGAAAGCUCAUCAAGUGACGGUAACUACCUAGAAAGCGACGGCUAACUACGUG
rnacentral:rRNA from 1 species